ensembl:lncRNA
AUGCCUAUGAAAAUAGAAGAAGAAGUCAGCGCUCUCCACCGAAUGGCUUGCGGCUUCGCUCAGCAGGGGAAGCAGAGGACUCUCAGCACCGCGCCGCUCCCCGUCCCCCGUUCCGUAGCCUUUAAAAAGGCUCCUUCACGGGUCAGGAAGGGCGCUAACGGUGCCCGCCGAGUCACCAAGUCCACGGGCAUCCGCUCCCGUGGUUUUUAAGGGUCCCCGCGUCGCCGGCGCGGUAGAACCCGAUCCCUACUGAGCAGAUUCCCUCCGGAGCUCGGAGGGAAUCCGCUAUUCGGCAAUGGCGCCAACCCGGAAGUCCGCCUCUUCUCAAUCUCUGGCAUCUCCAGUUGAAUGUUCAAGAAGCAAGUGACACGAAAAACUCUCUUCUCAAUUCUCUGGACUAUGCUUCCAGCCUGAGUGGACAGUAUUGGGCUAGCUCAUCAUGGCCAAACUUGGUGCCCUCCAGAUAUUCUAGGCUGCUACAAGAAGAAGAAGAGUUUGGAUUUGAUAUCCCUCUUUAUCACUACCUGAAGGAGUCUCAAAGCGGCUAACAUUCUCCUUUCCCUUCCUCCCCCACGACAAACACUCUGUGAGGUGAGUGGGGCUGAGAGACUUCAAAGAAGUGUGACUAGCUCAAGGUCACCCAGCAGCUGCAUGUGGAGGAGCAGAGACGCGAACCUGGUUCACCAGAUUACAAGUCUACCAGGUUGGGCAAGGCAAGUCUAGUUUGACACAGUGGUGGACCUACAUUUGGGGGGCACUGAAGCUUGAACUGUUAUGGGGGCCCCUUCUCAACCAGCAACAAGGUUUGGGUAACCACUGUUAUCUUCUUCAGUGGGGUUGUACUACAACGGAUCACAAAUUUCCCAUGAGUUUGCGUUUUUGGUAUCUACUUGAGUACUUUUGUGACCCUGUUGUUGCUUUUCUGGGGUCUUGACCUCUGUCAAAAAAAGGGGGAGUGGGGAAUUACAUUAGCCACGGCAGAAUAGCCAACUUGCUGUGACAUAGGGGGUGCCAACUUGAAUAAAAUAAGGGGGAGGGGGCAGGUAAGCUCUGCCCCACAUAAUCGAUCACAAGACACGGUACACACACACACCAGUUGAAUGGCAAUGCCCGCCAACUGGGGGGGGGGGCUCCCUCAAAUAUUUUGUUGGAGGGGGCCAAAGGGACCUCGGCCCCUAGGAGUUGGCUCCUAUGUCAUGACAUUUCACCUUUGCACCAUCUAUGCUACUGACUCUCAAGCUUUGGGAUUGUCGAAAUAUAUACAAAAAGUUUGAAUUGUGUGGUUCAGAUGGGAUCUACUAGACUCUUUUUAAAAAAAAAAAAAAAAGGAAUGUGAACUAAAGUCACUUAUGGGGCCCGUCCGGGAUUAGGGUCCCUGAAGCUUAAGAUUCAUUCAUUUCAUAGUAUGGACAUAUCUGAAGGAAGGCAAUCAGGUUCUGUAUACAACCCUCACUUGCCCAGCAAGGUAUUUUUCAACCUUUGCUCCAUCCCCUUUGUUUGGGUCUGGACAAGGAGAAGAGCAUGAGAAGCCAAGCAUCAUUAGGACUGCUUGAAAACAGCAGCAGCAGCACACAUAAACAGUUUUAAAACAACAUUUGGGCUGUGGUAUACGGUAUGGUGUAUUGCAGCCUACACAAAUUUCAUGGACCUUGUUGAAAGGACCAGGGUAUAAUUCCCAGACAUCAAACACUUCAUUUGUGGUUUGCAAGCACCUUGCAGCAAUGUGGUUAUACAGGCUUUUUUAAAAACUAGGUGAAAGACUGUAGGCAAGAGGGUCAUCUUUAUUUAACCAGUGUAAACACAA